rnacentral:tRNA from 1 species
GGGGCUGUGGUUCAGUGGUAGAGAAUCAGCUUUCUGUGCUGAAAGUUGAAGGUUCAAUCCCAGCCAUCUCCA